UACGAAGGGGGCUAGCGUUGCUCGGAAUCACUGGGCGUAAAGGGUGCGUAGGCGGGUUUUAAGUCAGGGGUGAAAUCCUGGAGCUCAACUCCAGAACUGCCUUUGAUACUGAAAAUCUUGAGUCCGGGAGAGGUGAGUGGAACUGCGAGUGUAGAGGUGAAAUUCGUAGAUAUUCGCAAGAACACCAGUGGCGAAGGCGAGUCCCUGGACAACUUCUGACGCUGAGGCACGAAAGCUAGGGGAGCAAACAGG
rnacentral:rRNA from 1 species